rnacentral:rRNA from 1 species
CCUACGGGAGGCAGCAGUGGGGAAUAUUGCACAAUGGGGGAAACCCUGAUGCAGCGACGCCGCGUGAGUGAAGAAGUAUCUCGGUACGUAAAGCUCUAUCAGCAGGGAAGAUAAUGACGGAACCUGACAAAGAAGCCCCGGCUAACUACGUGCCAGAAGCCGCGGUAAUACGUAGGGGGCAAGCGUUAUCCGGAUUUACUGGGUGGAAAGGGAGCGUAGACGGCAGCACAAGUCUGGAGUGAAAUCCCAGGGCUUAACCCCGGCACUGCUUUGGAAACUGUUGAACUGGAGUACAGUAGAGUGAAGCGGAAUUCCUAGUGUAGCGGUGAAAUGCGUAGAUAUUAGGAGGAACACCAGUGGCGCAGGCGGCUUACUGGACUGUAACUGACGUUGAGGCUCGAAAGCGUGGGGAGCAAACAGGAUUAGAUACCCGUGUAGUC